UGGGGAAUUUUGGACAAUGGGCGCAAGCCUGAUCCAGCCAUGCCGCGUGCAGGAUGAAGGCCUUUGGGUUGUAAACUGCUUUUGUACGGAACGAAAAGACUCCUUCUAAUAAAGGGGGUCCGUGACGGUACCGUAAGAAUAAGCACCGGCUAACUACGUGCCAGCAGCCGCGGUAAUACGUAGGGUGCAAGCGUUAAUCGGAAUUACUGGGCGUAAAGCGUGCGCAGGCGGUGAUGUAAGACAGUUGUGAAAUCCCCGGGCUCAACCUGGGAACUGCAUCUGUGACUGCAUCGCUGGAGUGCGGCAGAGGGGGGUGGAAUUCCGCGUGUAGCAGUGAAAUGCGUAGAUAUGCGGAGGAACACCGAUGGCGAAGGCAGCCUCCUGGGCCAGUACUGACGCUCAUGCACGAAAGCGUGGGGAGCAAACA
rnacentral:rRNA from 1 species